rnacentral:lncRNA from 1 species
GAGCCUCUCCCAUAUAUACAUGUUAUAAAGCUUUGCUUAAUUUUUUCCUGCUAUUCUGUCUCAUGUGAAUUUAAUUCGUUCUCCGGACAGAAGAACCCGCAGCGGGUAGAGGAAAUGUCUUCCUCCCCUACAAUACCAUGCAUCGUUGACUGAAGUGUCAUUAGGCGGCACAUGACUGUAGAAGGUGAAUUUAAUUCGUUCUCCAGCCAGACGAACCCACUUUGGAUAGAGGAAAUGUCUUCCUCCCCUACACUUCCAAGAAGCAUUUCUUGUCCCCUUUCCCAACCUACUUCUGAUGCUGGCUCGCCCUGAGCUAACUGCUGCCAAUCUUCCUCUUCUUGCUGAGGAAGCCUGGCCCUGAGCUAACAUCUGUGCCCAUCUUCCUCCACUUUAUAUGUGGGACGCCUACCACAGCAUGGCGUGCCAAGCAGUGCCAUGUCCCUACCUGGCAUCUGGACCGGCGACCCCUGGGCCACCAAGAAGCGGAACGUGAGGACCUAACCGCUGCGCCACCGGGCCGGCACCCCAUCUGAUUCUUAUCCAAAGAUAUAGAACCACCCGAUGACCAGAACCCCCCCAACCACUGAUGCUAUUUUAAUGAUUUUUUUGCAUGAUCUUUCCUUGUCUUGUAAAGAGAUAACUCACAUACCUAUGCCUUAUAAAUUUAGCCCUACCCUCCACCCAUGUUUGCAGCUCUUCACUGCCCAUGGGUCCUGAGCCCAUGCUACUCCAUGCUAUUCUCUGAAUAAAGGAGCCCUACUACCAGACCUUGAGAGUCCAAGAAAUCUUUC